CGUCCUCAUCUGGACUCUCCUCUGCUUCACUCAGGGAUCUGAUGGACAAAAUGUUGUUGUGACUCAAUCAGCAGCCAAAUCAGUGCAGCUUGGUCAGACUGUCACUAUUGACUCUGUUAAGAGGUCAGAGUUGAUCAGUGGCUGUCCAGGCCUUUCAGAGCCACUGACACACCAGCAGCACAAUGAUGAUGUCACUGACUCUACUGCUGACCAUCCUGGGGCUCCUGGUUCAGGGUUCAUCAGGAGACAUCAUCCUGACUCAGACUCCUGGAUCUCAGUCUGUUGCUUUGGGACAGACUGUCUCCAUCUCAUGUAAAACCAGUUCAAGUGUUGGUAGCAACCUCCACUGGUACCUUCAGAAACCUGCAGAAGCUCCUAAACUCCUGAUUUAUCGUGCUACAACUCUUCAGUCUGGAGUUCCAGCUCGGUUCAGUGGAAGUGGAUCUGGUUCUGAUUACACUCUCACCAUCAGUGGAGUUCAGGCUGAAGAUUCAGGAGUUUAUUACUGUCAGCAGAGUUGGAGCUACCCGUUCACACAGUGAUAGAACGUCGUACAAAAACCUCCCUCAGCUGGUGAGGAACUGAUCUGACUCAACAGCUGCACUGAAACUAAGACAUCCACAAAUUAUUUAUUUAUUUUACAUAUAUAUAAUUUGUUAUGUCUAUUUGGAUCUGAGACACAAAAUAAUAAUAAUUAUCAUUAUUAUUUGCCAUUUGGUUAGAACAAUUAAAGGAAAAAAAAGCACUAGGAGUUUAAACUAUUUAUAGAAAUGUUUUUUCAAAUCAAUUGUUGUUCUAAGCAGCCAUUUUUGAAAAACCUCUGACUUCUGAUGAUGGUAGUUCCUAAACAUUUUUUCAUAGCUUUUUAUAAAAGUAAAAAUUUGGAUUUCUGCCAAUUUAAUUGUUUUAAAACGAUUCCAGCUCAUUGAUAUUGUUUCUUUUGAAUAAAUCAAGUUAUGAAUAGAAGUUUGAGAAGUGGAAACAACAAACCUUUGGGAAACAAUUUGAAUAGGAAAAACAAGAUGUUGCAGAUAAAAGAUUGUUUUGCUUAUUCACACCAAAAUGUUCAUAAACAUAUAAAAAUCCUCGACCUACAGAGAAUUUCUUUCAGUGGUAUUUGCUACUUGGUUAGAACAAUUAAAGACACAAAAAAUCACUAGGAUGUUUUUUUCCAAAUUAUUUUUGUUCCAAGCAGACAUUUUUUAAAAACCUCUUAAUUCUGAUGAUGGUAGUUCCUAAAUAUUUUUCUCUUGCUUGAAAACUGUAUUCCAAAUAUGUUUUUAAAUUUAAUAAUGAUUUGCAGGGCAUUUAAUUGUACUCUUGUUAUGGAUAGAGACGAUGUCUAAAGAGAAUAAAGGCAAAACAUAAAUAAAUAA